ACUCCUACGGGAGGCAGCAGUGAGGAAUCUUAGACAAUCGGCGCAAGCCUGAUCUAGCCAUGCCGCGUGAGUGAUGAAGGCCUUAGGGUCGUAAAGCUCUUUCGCCAGGGAUGAUAAUGACAGUACCUGGUAAAGAAACCCGGCUAACUCCGUGCCAGCAGCCGCGGUAAUACGGAGGGGGUUAGCGUUGUUCGGAAUUACUGGGCGUAAAGCGCACGUAGGCGGACUGGAAAGUUGGGGGUGAAAUCCCGGGGCUCAACCCCGGAACUGCCUCCAAAACUAUCAGUCUAGAGUUCGAGAGAGGUGAGUGGAAUUCCGAGUGUAGAGGUGAAAUUCGUAGAUAUUCGGAGGAACACCAGUGGCGAAGGCGGCUCACUGGCUCGAUACUGACGCUGAGGUGCGAAAGUGUGGGGAGCAAACAGGAUUAGAUACCCUGGUAGGAUAGCG
rnacentral:rRNA from 1 species